CCUACGGGUGGCAGCAGUGGGGAAUAUUGGACAAUGGGGGGAACCCUGAUCCAGCCAUGCCGCGUGUGUGAAGAAGGCCCUCGGGUUGUAAAGCACUUUCAGUGAGGAAGAACGCCUGGUGGUUAAUACCCAUCAGGAAAGACAUCACUCACAGAAGAAGCACUGGCUAACUCCGUGCCAGCAGCCGCGGUAAUACGGAGGGUGCGAGCGUUAAUCGGAAUUACUGGGCGUAAAGCGCGCGUAGGUGGCUUGAUAAGCCGGUUGUGAAAGCCCCGGGCUCAACCUGGGAACGGCAUCCGGAACUGUCAAGCUAGAGUGCAGGAGAGGAAGGUAGAAUUCCCGGUGUAGCGGUGAAAUGCGUAGAGAUCGGGAGGAAUACCAGUGGCGAAGGCGGCCUUCUGGACUGACACUGACACUGAGGUGCGAAAGCGUGGGUAGCAAACAGGAUUAGAUACCCCAGUAGUC
rnacentral:rRNA from 1 species